rnacentral:lncRNA from 1 species
UUUUUUUUUUUUUAAUUUGCCUUUUAGGGCUGCACCCUCAGCAUAUGGAGGUUCCCAGGCUAGGGGUCGAAUAGGAGCUAUAGCUGCCAGCCUACGCCAAAACCAUAGCAAUGUGGGAUCCGAGCUACAUCUGUAACCUACAACACAGCUCACGGCAACGCCGGAUCCUUAACCCACUGACUGAGGCCAGGGAUCAAGUCCGCAACCUCAUAGUUCCUACUCAGAUUUGUUUCUGCUGUGCCACAAUGGGAACUCCAUUUUAAGCAUAUUUAUAAUGUUGCACGUACUUUACUGAAAACCAUUUUUGUCAUGAACAAGCAUAUGCUCAGGAACACCAGAGCUGUCCAUUUCUCCCUUCCUGAGAAAGGGUCACCUACAGAAAAACUAAAAUCUAGGUUGGAAAUUUUUUUUAAAUUGGGAAUUUGGCAUUUGUCUGUAGUAGUCAUUACUGACUUCCAAGAGAUUACAGGAUUGCAUUGCUAUUAAGGCUCAAUGUGGAAUAGCACCUAGUGCUUCAUAUCAUAACAGGUUUUAUAUCCGUCUUUUUGAUGAUAUUGUAAAUUCUCAAAUCCACAGAUAGAGGGCUCAUAGCCCUGCCAUCUGCUUCCCCAUCAGAAGAAACACAACAGUUUAUACUCUUCAAGAAUAUGGCUUUAGUUUAUAUGUCCUGAUGCUCUGCCCACAGUAAUUUAAGUCAUUCCAGGGUGAUGGAGUCCUUAUAAGGGGAAAUUUCUUCCCCCAAUGCCCUUUCCUUACACCCAUGUCAAAACAACUGUCCAAAGUAGUACAUCAGCUUUCCCAAAGGUGAGAAGAAAGUAUUACAGUCAUGGAGUUCUCGUUGUGGCUCAGCAGUAACGAACCCAACUAGUAUCCAGGAGGACAUAGGUUCGAUCCCUGGUCUCACUCAGUGGGUUAAGUAUUCAGCAUCGCCGUGAGGUAUGGUAUAGAUCAGGGCGUGGCUUAGAUCUGGCAUUGCUAUAGCUGUGAUGUAGGCCAGCAAAGGCAGCUCAGAUUUGAUCCCUAGCCUGGGAACUUCCAUAUGCCACCAGUAUAGUUCUUAAAAAAAAAAAAAAGAAAGUGUUACAGUCAACAGUGUAACUAUCUUGGUCAUUCUUUGGGGCUGACAUAUAGGCCUCAACAAAGCAUCUAUGCUGAACAAAUAAGGCCCCAUUAAAGUUCCUUUGUCAGUGUGUGGUCUACCUGGGCUCCCAUCGUAACAGAGUUUAUUCUUACAUCAAAAUCAAAAACAAUAUAUAUUCUUAUCUUUGUUUUAAUUUUUUAAAAGUUUUUACCUUUAAAUAACUAUCAGCAUGAAUGGGGACGAGGAAGCUUUUGUCUUGAUUUUUUUCAAAUAAUUAUAAAGAACUUUAUUAUCUUCCAAAAUUGCACUUGGUUGAUAGAUCUAGCAGUUUCCUUUAUUUUCACUGCAAGAAAUUAUCAUCUUGAUUUUUAUUUUUUAACAUAAGGGAAGUGUUUUAUUUUCUCCCCUUGAGAGUUUGCUAGUUGUUUUGUUUUUUUUGUUGUUGUUGUUGUUGUUGUUUUUUCCUCCAGGAUCACAAUUACUUAAAACUUUAUACUUCGCUUUAACACCCCUUUCCACUGAUAGCCAACCUCUUCCCUCCCUUUUUGUUCCACACAAGGGGAAAUUGCAGAGAAAUACUACUUAAUUAUCAUGCCACGUAACUAAUUAAAAGUGGGAUGCUUGUGUAUGGUAUGCUAACGAGCUAUUAGAGAUCCAGCAUGCUUUAGUGACAAGAUAUGGGUUCCUAUUCUGCCCUUCACCUGGCUGUGGAUUUCCAGUUGACACUUAACAAUGAUGAGAUGGGAAUUUAUUAUGCCGCUUGCAAGCCAAGAACUUUGGGAGAGGGCAGAAAGGUCAGACAACAAAAUCACUCAGAGGAAGCAACACCUGAACUGAAACCAAGAGACCAAGAAUAAAAUAAAAUAAAAUAAAAUAAAAUAAAAUAAAAUAAAAUAAAAUAAAAUAAAAGUAAAUAAAUACAUCUGAGGAUUCCAUCUGUAGGAAACGAUGGAAUGUGUAGAGCACAGGGCAGAGGGUGUUCAACAAAUAGGAAAGUUUCAUUCUUAUUUUUGGUGGGCCCAGUGAUGGAAGAUGAGUAUGUUUGAAGUGAAAUAUUGAUUAGCUACUUGUAUGUAUGUCAUCUGUCCAGAUUUGAGUAUAUUAGUUAAGAAGUCCUCUGAAGACAGCCUAAAAUGAUUGGCAUGUCACACAGAGGUGAGGUCGGAAGCAUGCAAAGAAGUGUAUAGAAAGGAAAGAGGACACAGGGAGAGAGGGCAGAUAGAAAGAAUGACUAUUUACAAUUAUUUUUGUCUAUGAGAAAAAUAUUACAAAUGGACAAAGCAGGGAUGUGAGCAAGAAGCAAGAAGAUAACCACACUCAAGCUAAUGAUAAUGAUAAUCAAUACCGGGCUUUCCUUUCUUGGAGGCAGGUACCUGCUAAGCACUUUAAAUGCAUUAUUUCAUAUAUAGCCCAUCCUAGAAAGCACUACAAUAUCAGUGUAGGGUUCUACAACAAGUUCUUCUGACUUAUUGCAGAAAAUGGACUUUCAGCAACCACACUGAGCUCAAAUGCAAAGCAACCACUGCAUCUUUUAAGGGUCACUGUGCUCUGGAUCUAAAAUAUAGCAGGUACUCAAUUAAGAGGAAAUAAACAAUAGAAUGUUAAUAAUGUAAGAGAACUUUGAGGUGGCCCAUUCCUUUUCAUUAAUAAACAGUAUUGGAAGUCAGAGAAGAAAUGGCUUCCAUGAUCUGAUGCUGGUGCUACCAUGUACUACGCAUCUAUUACUCAACCUCUAAUAAGGAAUAUGCAUUCUGAAGCAAUGCCCAACCUAGCAAGGAAUUUUAUUUUGCUGCUCCCUCAGUUCAUGAUGUGCUUCUGCUGACAUUCCUUUAGGUUAAGAACAAUUACUCCCUUUCUCCUUGUCUUAUUACAACUGAAAAGAGAAAAGCAGCAAUCAGAAUUUUCAGGGAAGUUCCUUACUUGCAAAGGGAAGAAGGCCACAUGCCAGGCCCAUCUCUGCCCCCUGGGAACCUCAGCGUUAAGUUGGCAGAGACACUGUCACUAGAGCAGCAGCUCCCACACUGAGGUGCUGACCAGGUUAGGAACCUAUUUUCCUGCCAUCACGUGCCCUUCAACAAUAAAAAUGUAAUCUCUAUGUUUCCCCAAUAUUUAUUCUUCCCUUCCACCCCAUAAGAGAAUGUCUAUAUAAUUAGCAAUGGCUUUAGCUAAAAACCUCCUCUUGCAGAUGGAGUGGCCCCAUGAGAUAUAAGUAAAAGUCAAUGGGUAGAGGUUCCAGGACAUUCUCUGAGGGAGAGAUGGGAAUGUAAUGGCUGGACUUCCAAAGAUGUCCUUGGACCUAGAGGGUGGAAGCUGUCCAUUGGAGAUGGCAAAGUCAAAUGAUAGGCAGUUCUGAUAUAAUUUUAGCCCUGUAUAUCUCUUGUAGACUAUUUUAUGUGAAGGAAAACGAAAAGCCCUCAUUUAUUUAAGCUGUUUUGUUUGGGCUUUCUGUAGUAUGCCACUAAACCUAACCCUAACUAAUACAUCCUUUCCCAAACUCCUCUUACUAUUCUUAGACUAGUAAGUAUCUCAAAAUUUUCUUUGUGGUAGAUAAGAUACCACCACCGCUUUUUACUCUAGUUUAGAAAAAGGACUCCUUUUGGUAAGCAAAGUGUCAUGUCAGCUAUACAUGCAUUUCUUGGCUGAUAAUCAAAACUUCUUUUCCUUGUUAUAAUUCAAAGAUUAGGCGCAAAUCUAUACUCUAUCCUUCACAUAACACAUGACCUGAUGUUUUUUCUUUCUUUCUUAGCUAUAUCUGAGGGACUUAGAGUGGGUAGAGGUUUGGAAAGAAAAAACAAUCAGGUUCUUUAUAUGCUUAUACUGCUGCCAGAUGGGAGCCUGGAGGUUCAUGGCACCUCUUUAAUAUCCUUAGGGCCCUGCAAUUUUGGGAGGGAUCAGAAAGAAGCAUUGCUUUUUGGAAAACUCGACAAGUGUAAAAUCCUUCUGUUUUUUGGUUUGACCUCAAUAUUUUGUGCCUGUUUCCAGAUUUUCUAAAGUUCUUUCAUUUCUUCUCUUUUUCUCUUUCAUUUUUGUUCUGUUUCUUUUGUACUUUACUCAUAAUUUUAGAAACAGUUGCACAUUUACAGAAAUAAUAUUCUUCUUUUGAAGGCUGAAGGACAGGGUUGGCAAGAGGGUAGGGAUUUCCAUGGAGUAAAGGAGGUAACUUUGGGAAGGGUGAUUUGAAAAGUAAAUGAAAUACAGCCCAACAUGAUGAAGUACUUGCGUAACUGCAGAUCUUUCAGUGGGCUGGAUAGAUGUUAUCCAUGUUAGCAUAUCCACAUGGGUCCCACUUUCCCUGGUAGGACCUAGAUAAGCCCUCCCAUUGGAUGGUCCCAAGAGCUGAGAAAGCUGCUACAUUGAGAAGGGCUCUACCUAUUCCUUUUUCAUUAUCAUUUCUCUCCAUUCUCUCCCAUAUACUAGUACAAGGUCCUUUCAUGCAUCUCUCAAUUAUGCCUAAACGGUAAAAUCAUGGAGGUAUAAGUAAAAAUUUUAAUGAUGAGUGCCUAUGAAUUUCAAUUUUUCCAUGUAUAUUACUGUGUAAUAAUAAGCAAGAUAUGAAACCUUGAUAAACCCAUUCCCUUUUUUUAUACAAGGUAAAUUGCAAUCUCUCUUAUUAAAUGUUAAAUGAAACAUACAACAUACAUAUAUGCUUUGUCCAAAAUCACGUUUGGAUCUUUGGUAUCCUCAAGGCUCAAUAAAUUGUUUAGAAAUAUUUAUUGGAGUUCCCGUUAUGGCUCAGUGGUAAGUAACUAGUAUCUAUGAAUAUGUGGGUUCGAUCCCUGGCCUUGUUCAGUGAGUUAGAAGAUCCGGCAUUACCAUGAGCUGUGGUGUAGGUUGCAGACAUGGUUCAGAUUUGGCAUUGCUGUGGCUGUGGCAUAGGCCAGCAGCUGCAGCUCCAAUUUGACCCCUAGCCUGGGAAAUUCCAUAAGCCAUGGGUUCAGCCCUAAAAAGAAAAAAAAAAUAUUGACACACAAUGCCUAAGGAAUACUUGCUUAAGUUUGAAUAAUACAUAAUGAACUAAUGAAUGAAUGUCCUAAUGGCUUUGCUUUUAGUCCUAGCUGAAUUUUAUUUGUGUAAUGGCAUUCUGUAUUCAAGCUAACAAUGAGCUUAUUUCAUUGUAAAGCAAUCUAACAAUAAGGUGACCACAUAAUCCAAACUAGGACAUUUUUGAGGCACUAUUAAUAAUUGCUUUGAAACAACUUAUAUAAACUGGGAUUAUCCUGAACAAAUAGAGGUAUAUAUAUAGUAUACCUCUCUCUAUAUAUAUCCACCUUCUUAAAAACUACACAGCUCUUGGCUUGAUCCAUUGAUAAGGAUCACAAAUGAAUCUGUAAUUCUGAUAGUAUGCAAAGGUUUGAUUUUCUCAAUGUUUAAGCCAAAAGAAGUACCCAAAAAUUGUGUAUGUAUGCCUUACUCUGCACAAUGGAUUGCUUCCUGAACAACUGUGUUUAUUGGAUUUUUAAUAAUGAAAGUUACAUAUACAUUCCCAUGGGCACUUUAUAAAGAAUCUCAGUACUGAACCAUUUUUAAAGUGAUAAAACUCUAAAAUUUGAAUAAUCAGCCCUCCCACUGGGAACUCAGAUAUCCAAUUUAUUUGCUUAUAAGUUAAAGUUUGUUUAGUUUCAUAUUGAGUUUUCCAAAGUAUGACAUAUCUUCAGGCCGCAGUCUUGCAUGAAAUAUGUCCUAAUAAUAUGUGACUAGUCAAUUAUUCACCUAGGGCACUUUUAGUCACCUAAGACUGUUACUCUAAUGAAGUUGCCAUCUUAAUGGGGUGAUAGACAGAAACAAUAGAGGACUGUCACAGAGCAAUGUGAAAGGACAAUUUCUCUUCAAGAUAGCACCCCAUGUUCCUAGGUAGCCACAGAAUUAAAAUCCUUCUGCCCCAUGAAAACUAUAAUAGGAGUGUCUGCAAUUAAGGUUGUGGGGUUACAUGGACCGUAGAGCUCCUUUAUUGCAUUUGAGAUCUAGACUGUUAUAGUCUUACUAGUUGAGUUUAUCAGAGUGACUUUAGUAAUACCAGAGAUGAAUCUGGUAGCAUAAGCAUCAGCCUCGGCCCUUCAGUGGCCAACAAAGACUAAUUAAGAAGUGAAACAUUGGUUAAGUUGCUCUCCAUUAGGGCAAGAUAAUGUAUUCCUGGAAGUACCAGGAGGCUGUAAUUGCUAGGCCCUAGAUAACUCUGAUUUAGUAAGAGAGCUUUAAUGUUUAACAUAUGUUAAGGUUCUAGAAAACCUUUCAGCUAUGACUGAUACUGAGGGCUCCGUGUGUAUCCUGUUUGAGCUGCAAACAUAGAAUGUCACUUUAUAAAAGAUGUUUAACACUUAGCAUGUUAAACCCAACCAUUUCAACCCAUCCAAACAUCUCACUUGAAUAGUCCUAUAUAAUAAGCAGUAUCAAUACCAUAACUUGAAGGUAAGAAAAUUUCAAGUGUAACCCAGGUUGUGUUAGUCACUAGGUCUGAGAGCUAAACAAAGCUUGUUUACUUAUCCAAAUAUUAAUUACUUCAUAUAUAACAUUAGAGGAUUUGGACCGUAUAUACUAUAGAUUUCUUUCAUAAUUAACAUUUUAGGAGUAAUUCCUUGAAGCCUCUAAUAGAAACCUAGGAUGUUACAGGAUGAUAUAAUGAAGGUCUAUGGUUAGAGCUGAUGGCCAAGAAGGGAACUAACUCAAAACUUAAGCCAAUAAAAAAAAGAAAUCAGUCUUUCUGACAUAAUAUAGCUUACUGUCAACAUGUAAACAUCAGAUAUCAUGCUAUUACCACCAUAACAUGUUCUUCAGUUUAAAAAUUAAUCUGUAAUACAUAACAAUUACAUUACUUAUCUUACAGAAGAGGAAACAGAUGCAAAGGAGUUAAGUAACUUCUCCAAGUUUGCUAGAACUUAAGAACUUAAAAAACAGUCCAGAUUUGCUUACUUCCAAUUAGUCUCUUUCAUAUCUUAGAUUUCUUCAGGUGGAAAAUCACAAGAAAACUUAGUUUAUGUUAGUAAACAGCACUAGGUGCUCUAGGAUUACUGAAUGAAAACAUUCUACUUUACUAACAGUAGGAAACAAAUGGAAACACUUUUACACUUCUCUUCAACUGUCUCCACCCUCAUAUCUUAUACCAUAGAGGUACUUUGUGUACAGGGAAGGACAGAGAAUAAAAUGCAAUCAAUUGGCUAAGAAACAAUGAGCCAACUUGCAGUUGGUCUAAAAGAUAAGCUAUACUUUUAUUACUGUUUUGGGAAGAGUAAUCCAGUAAUGAUACCUAAGCACAUCCUUGGACUCUUUUCUGCUGCAGAGAAGGACAGUUAGAAGCGAAGGACAGAAAUAAAAUAGUACAAUCCUCUAGAUUCUAUCUGAAUUGAGUAGAGGGGAAAAUGAGCUGAAAUUCAACUGUGAAGGGGAAAAAAUAAAAAGUGAUGACAUGGAAACUGGAUUUUCAAAAAGUAGGUAGAGUGAAAGAGGAGGUGGAUAUAAAGAGAGAAGUUCCUAAGGCCCUAUGUUUCUGCCUUUGCAUUGACCACUUAUUUAUGUAUAUGUCUUAUGAAUUAUAGAACCACAAAUACACAUAUAUAACAAAAACAGAGAAACAAUACAUGUGUUGAUAACCCUUCUGUCUAGUGAUGCAUUUGUACAUGGACAGAGGCUUAUCAUGAAUCCUAAUAUGUCAUGGGAACAGAAGCUACUACUAAUUAAAUAUUCAGAGAAAGGAAAAAAUAACACUAGAGGAGUUCCCAUCAUGGCACAGUGGAAACAAAUCUGACAAGGAGCCGUGAGGUUGAGGGUUAGAUCCCUCACCUUGCUCAUUGGAUUAAGGAUCUGGCGUUGCUGUGAGCUGUGGUGUAGGUCACAGACAGGGUUUGGAUCUGGCGUUGCUAUGGCUCUGGUGUACGCCGGCGGCUACAGCUCCGAUUAGACCCCUAG